GACAACAGCCAUAUCACCCUGCAGCUCUCAACUGGCUAUUCACUGAAGAUAAGCGGGAUUGAGCCUGGUCAGCACCUGGAUAGGAGACCUCCUGGUAAGCUAUGGUUGCUGCUGGAU
rnacentral:rRNA from 1 species